UUACAAUCAUUAUGAGAUUAUAAUGUUCUUUUUCAAAAUACAUCAUAGUUGGUUUUAUUCAAUGUACUGCUAAAGGCACACUUGCAACUUGUUAGCAUUGGUCUGAACUGACAACACCAGUUGUCAGUUCAGUGAGUAACUGCCAGCAUCUUCUUUAUAGCUAUUCUUGUGGUGUUCACUUGGCACCAGAUUGCAGAGGAAAAGCCGCGAGGCAGAAAGGUUAUCUGUAAAAGUACGUGAAAGAUAUACGUCAUCGUUCCACCAGGUCAUAAGUACUCUCCAGGUAGGUCUGAGGGUCUCGGCCUACCUACAACAGCUGAUCCUCUGAUCCUCCGAUCUCCAGUCACAAGCACUCUUUACUCCCGCUCCGCUGCCCACUCCUGAAAGUGGGCCGCUUUUUAAAGCCUGCGCUCGCCGCUGAUGUCACCCAUGCUUGCGCAGCUUUACCUUCCUCCUCAGGUACUCUCCAGAGAAGCUAGUCCAAAGGCAUUUCAACAACCUUGAAAUAAAAUGCAAGCAAGUAAUCAAUCUGGUGGAAGUGCAGCUUAAGUCAAGAUGUCGCCUGUAAUUGAAACAACAUUAUACUGCUUUGAAACGGGUUUGGAGCUGCUUUGUGAAGGUGAUGAAGUAUCAAGCAGGGCCAGCCUUCUGGAGGAAAUCUGCAGUGCUUCAAGCAAUGUGCAUGAUGAGUGAGGCUCUCAGCCGAUGAGACAGACUAUUGUUUAUCAUGAGAUUGAUUGUUUGACAGUCUUUUUGAGGAUUUUGUUGGCUUUCUUUGUUCUUGUGGCUGCCUGCAAGAGGAUGAAUUUCAAGGCUGUAUGGAGUAAAAUGUGAAGAAGUCAGUAAAAUACUACUUGUGUCCAAACCGAUCCUAUCGCCUGCAGAGGUAAUUUAAGGCUGCUUGAGUAAUAACUGUGAGUAAUUCUAAAUGAACUGUCAUCACCCACUACUUGUUACACAUUACACUCACUGGCCACUUUAUUAGGUACACCAGCUCGUUAAUGCAAAUAUUCAAUCAGCCAAACAUGUGGCAGCAACUCAAUGCAUGCAGACACGAUUAAGAGGUUCAGUUGUUGUUCAGACCAAACAUCAGGAUGGGGAAGAAUUGUAAUCUAAGUGACUUUGACUGUGUUGGUGCCAGACAGGGUGGUUUGAGUAUCUCAGAAACUGUGGAUCUCCUGGGAUUUUCACACUCAGCGGUUUCUAGAGUUUACAGAGAGUGGUGCGAAAAGCAAAACUAGUGAGCGGCAGUUCUGUACAAGAAGGCAUCUUGGUAAUGAGAAGUCAGAGGAGAAUAGAGACUGGUUGAAGCUGACAGGGAGAUGACAGUAAUUCAAAUAACCACACAUUACAAUAGUGGUGUGCAGGAGAGCAUCUCUGAAUGCACAACACAUUGAACCUUGAAGUAGAUGGGCAAUAGUUGCAGAAGACCAUGAACACACAUUCU